rnacentral:rRNA from 2 species
CAAGAAAUGGGGGUGCGCAACAUUAGUUAGUUGGUAGGGUAAAAGCCUACCAAGACGAUGAUGUUUAGCGGGGCCAAGAGGUUGUACCGCCACACUGGGAUUGAGAUACGGCCCAGACUCCUACGGGAGGCAGCAGUAAGGAAUAUUCCACAAUAAGCGAAAGCUUGAUGGAGCGACACAGCGUGCAGGAUGAAGUCUUUCGGGAUGUAAACUGCUGUUGUAAGGGAAGAAAAAACUAGAUAGGAAAUGCUCUAGUCUUGACGGUACCUUAUUAGAAAGCGACGGCAAACUAUGUGCCAGCAGCCGCGGUAAUACUAGGUCGCAAGCGUUAUCCGGAAUUAUUGGGCGUAAAGCGUCCGUAGGUUUUUUGUUAAGUUUAAAGUUAAAUGCUAAAGCUCAACUUUAGUCCGCUUUAGAUACUGGCAAAAUAGAAUUAUGAAGAGGUUAGCGGAAUUCCUAGUGGAGUGGUGGAAUACGUAGAUAUUAGGAAGAACACCAAUAGGCGAAGGCAGCUAACUGGUCAUAUAUUGACACUAAGGGACGAAAGCGUGGGGAGCAAACAGGAUUAGAUACCCUGGUAGUCCACGCCGUAAACGAUGAUCAUUAGUUGGUGGCAAAAGUCACUAACACAGCUAACGCGUUAAA